GGUAGAUAGGUUUACAUGUGAUGUAGCAAAUCCAAUUGAGACCUAAAUUAAAACCUCCCCAAUCAAGUCGAGAGUGAACCUACAUGAGCGAGUCAUAUUAGAUUAAUUGAUCUAAUUGGUGUCUAGGAAAGCAUGAAAGGUGGUUACUUAAUUAGGACCUUACUCUCUGAGUAAGAGGAGCCCCCACCUGCUUACCUGGCCAAUUGUUCGAUUACCUCUUAUGAAGAGCUCAAGUUGCAAACACUAAGACCUG
rnacentral:lncRNA from 1 species